UACGUAGGGUGCGAGCGUUAAUCGGAAUUACUGGGCGUAAAGCGUGCGCAGGCGGUGAUGUAAGACAGGUGUGAAAUCCCCGGGCUUAACCUGGGAACUGCAUUUGUGACUGCAUCGCUGGAGUGCGGCAGAGGGGGAUGGAAUUCCGCGUGUAGCAGUGAAAUGCGUAGAUAUGCGGAGGAACACCGAUGGCGAAGGCAAUCCCCCUGGGCCUGCACUGACGCUCAUGCACGAAAGCGUGGGGAGCAAACAGG
rnacentral:rRNA from 1 species